UACGAAGGGGGCUAGCGUUGCUCGGAAUCACUGGGCGUAAAGGGUGCGUAGGCGGGUCUUUUAAGUCAGGGUGAAAUCCUGGAGCUCAACUCCAGAACUGCCUUUGAUACUGAAGAUCUUGAGUUCGGGAGAGGUGAGUGGAACUGCGAGUGUAGAGGUGAAAUUCGUAAAUAUUCGCAAGAACACCAGUGGCGAAGGCGCCUCACUGGCCCGAUACUGACGCUGAGGAGCGAAGCGUGGGAGCAAACAGG
rnacentral:rRNA from 1 species